CUUGCAAGUCGGUAUUACAAAAUCUAAGUAAAAUUCUUGGGCGACAGAAUUUUAAUAAUGUAUAUAGGAUAUGAUAAAGCAGUGCAUUUUCCUUCUGUUGUUUAAGUCAGACUGAUUGUCUUUUGACUUUUACAAUGAAACAUUUCCAUUUCUGUAUGCCCUCAAAGACUUCUGUCAAGACCUCUGCAAUCUAUAACAUCCCUGAAAUGUGCUCAUAUGAAAGAAGUUUGCAUUUCAGUAGAGGCUGCACUGCUUCCAAGUGCAGAUGCAAUCUGACCUCCCUGCUGCUGCUUCACCUCCUGUAAUUAUACACUCAGGGUUCACCUUUUUGACCCUACCAUUGCAAUUGCUUCUACCAUCAGCAAUUCCUUCAAAGGUUGCAUCUAAGCUUACCUGCAAGAGAACACCAGGAGACACCCUGGAUCCUGCUCCUUGGAUAACAAGAUCAUGUGCUUAGAUUUCACCUACACAGAGACAGGCAUGUGGGAAACUGCUGGUACAUAUCCAGACAGUACACUAAUGGGAAUCCAGGAUGUGAUAUCUGCAUCUGGGAAUUCAGAAACAUUCCUGGACUUUACGAUUCAGGCAUCACUGGUGACAGUGUCCUGCUGUGCUGUGUCCUCCUGUGGUCUUGUUUACCAUUUUCCUGGCGUGUGUGCGCAUACACUGUUUGAAAUCUGUGGACACUGGUUGUGGAUUCAGCACCCAGGCAAAAAUCUCAUCGACAGAGGUCACAGAAUUUGGUUUCCAGGGUUUAAAUGGACAUUUCCAAAUGAUGUGUGUUCUAAAGCCUUCAUCCUUCUUAUUGUAUGGCAAAGGGAAAACCACGAUAUCAGAGCUAUAAGACAACGAUGUGCUUGGACCCAGCCUUCAAAACUGAAUAUCUUAAGGACAUCCUAGAGGAAUUUCCCUCCUACCAUAAGUACAUCAGGAUGCCUAAAGUACCGUUAGAUGGAGUACUGGUGUGCCAUGAAUGUCACCCUGGCAAUGCUGGAGAGGAAGUUUUCUGAUUUAAAUUAAGAGAAAAUGAGAAAUAAAUCAGGAUCAGAAAUUAACAGCCUACAAAUGAUAAUGAGCUCAGUGAAUAUUAUUAACACGAGUUACAACUGACUGACAAGUGAAACCAGCAUAUGGUGUUCAGUCUUCCCAGAAAAGUUUUUUCUGUCUUCUGCUGAUGGAGCACCACUUCAUCUGUUGCACCAGUUGACUGACAAUAUGACAUCUGGAAUGAAGUAAGUUGUAAAGCAGUAGUUUCACAAGGCAAUUUUACAGGCCAUUUGCUGGUAGUAGGGGUGAAAUGUGUCAUUCCUAAUGCUCAAUUUGCAGCUAUUAAAUGACAGAGGGGAAAAAAAAGUACAAACAAACAAACAAAUUUAAUCCAGACAGGAAUGCAUGUUUCCAUGCUGAGAUGUUGUAAGCACAGUUACAAUUUACUGAAUUCAGACAAGCUUGAGAGAUGCAUGUUUUCUGAUUACUGGUUCCAGAGUUACUUUGGGUUUUAAUGUUAAACAACGAGGAAAAAAUAUACAUCUACUUUAUAUAUAAGUAAAUAUACCUAUAUGUAAAAUUCAUAAAUAUUUAUAUACUUUGGGGAAUGAGGACUGAAUUUCAUCACUAUCAUUCCAUUUCCACGUAAGUUCCCUUUUUAACUGUUACAUUUGACUCCUAGAAGUUGGUUGUCUUUUUUUUUUUUUUUCCCUUGUGUGAGCACCUCUAAGGACCUCAGGAGAAGAAUCUGCAGUUUCUGGUUCCUGGAUGUGCCAGACAUGCUCUGAUCAACAAUUUUAGAACUAAACACAUUCUGAGCAUCUGCAUACGCGUAUCUACAUACGUGUAUGUAUGGAAAUUCAGAGUAACAGAGAAAAGCAGAAUUUGUUUUGGAGUUCAGUCGUCUCAGAGUUUAAGUGGCUGUAUCUCAGUUCAGGAUUUUCAUACAUCUAUCUUCAUUCUAUUUUGGAUAUUGCAGUCUGCUGCGAUUUCAGUCUUUGAUACUUUGGUCCCUGCUAUACUUCAGUAUCUGUGCUGAAGAUCUCAGAUAGGGUAACCAAAUCAUUUUAAGUUACCUAUCUGUAUUGCACAGUGAACUGUACUAAGCAGUUUUGCUAAAUAUCAUGUGCAACUUGCUGUGAGUCAGAUGCCCUCUCUCGUGUGGAAUGUUUCCAUGCUGAACACCUAAUUAGAAAUGCCCAGACUAGCAGUUUGUUCAGAUUUGUUCAGUAUCCUUAUUUUGAAUAGUUACAGGAGGUGCUGACACAUGAUGUUCAAAUGCUUUCCCAAAGAUAGAGGACGGCAGUCAUCUCAGCCUCCCCAGUGUGACAUGCAUUUACAAUUCUUUUGCAUCAGUCCUCCUAAGGGCUGACAGAUAACAAGGCUCUUUGAAUAUGAUCUGCUACAUUUCAGUAUUAUCACUGGCUUCUAAUAACAUUCGAAUGUGGAAUAACAGGUAGAGGGAAUUAUUAACCACAUUGCAAAACACUCAGAGAACAGUUUGGUUAGGAACCUCGGCAGCCUUCAGCUUUCCUGAUUACUUGGAGUUUCAGACAUGAGUGCAGCUGACAGUUUCUCAGUUAGGACUAGAAAUACCAAGUAGUCCUGUAAUUUAAUUUUGAUGCUAUGCUUCCCUCAUGUUAUGUCAGUGCCCCUUUCUCUUUACUAUGCUUUGGAAGCAGGUAAGAAGGAACCAUAAUUUGGAUCUUUCAGAGGCCUGUAGCCUUAACAAGGCACCCAUAGCAGACACAGUAAAUGAAAAAGAGGGGCAAGAUUUCACUUUGUGUAUUUCACUAUGUGUAACCAUAAAAAUUCAGGACCUCAGUAAACACAGACUGAACCAUUUACAUUCCUUUGGUUCUCUGCACAUCUCUGUUUGCCAUUUCAGUAUUUAACCUUCUGUUUCUGACAGUUUUGCUGGGACUAGAUGAUCAUUAUGGUCCUUUUCAACCCAAGCCAUUCUAUGAUUCUAUGAUUCUAUGACUACUGAGGCCAUGUCUCGUUCAAUCAGUAUUAUGAAAUAGCUGAAGCUAUGCUAUACGCAGUAUAACUAUAAAUGGGUGAGUUAAAAAGGUGAGAAAAGUAGGGAUGGCCUUUCCAGCCCAGUAACUUGGAUAUUUGUUCAUAUUCUUUUGACAGUGAGUGCAGGGAAAUUGCAAAGGCAAUGGCAGGGUUUCAUUUAAUAUGGUCUGUGCCCAAAUAUCAUCAAGUGGAGCUGCUGGACCCAAAGUUAAAGCUGUCACCAGUCAAAAUGUGGCUGAUGAGCAGUUCUAUGCUGUGGGCUUUGCAGGAAUUGGGCUGGGAAACCAUUGCAUUGCACCAUGGUGAAAGUGACUCAUGCAGCCAUGCCUUACCAAAGUCUGGGUUCCCACCACAGUCUCAUCUCUAAGGAACAGGGGGAUUUGAAACUGCUGUCUUACAGUCAAAUAAGAUAGUGUCAUUUUGGCAUGUAGUUGAAAGAAGUGAAGUGUAUAAUGCCUUUAUGUGAGACUGAUGCUUUCACUAAGCUCCUGUUUAUAUCAUCAAGACAAUGACACAGUCCUUUCCCAAAGAAAUGUUAGUAUGAGUGAGCUGUUUCAAUUUUUUCUUUAAAAAAUGAUGUUGUAUUAUGUUUCUACUUCAUACUACUCCACUUCAAGCUUUGAAAAUAGUUGUCCUUGAAGGCACAUGCAGCUCAUAAUCUAACGAAGAUUGUAGUAGGAGCAGUACAGGAUUGUUCUCUCACAUCUAGAGAUGAAGUGAGUAUAAUAAAAUGUGGUACGCAUUUAUGCUUUUUAUUUAUGAAAUGCUACAGUGUUGUCAACCCUAUUUCAGAAGGCUUGAUGGGGUCUGAAGCAGAUGUAGCCAACCUCCAAGCGAGUUUCUACAGAUACCCAGAACUGUAACUUUCAGCCCUAGCAAUCCUAUUUCCUGAAAGCUUCUCUUUUAUUAGGAAUAAUAAUAUACUGUAUUUCCCUAGAAAGAAGGAGAAAUUAUACACAAAAAUUUCCAUGAGGUAUCUAAGUAUUACUGUCCUGUACACAACAGUUCAAAUGCUUACUGAACUCUACCGCUCUACAGAUUUGUAUCUUUCAAGUUUCUAAAGAGGUUUAUGUGCCAUUCAAUAGGAUCAGUAUUAGCAAUAUUAACACUAAUAUUUGUAUGGGAGUCCUGAAGCUCUGUGAGUCCUGAAGACAAUACUUAUCACGGCAAUAUAAGUAUCAUCUUCAAUGCCAUUAAGAUUAAAUAUCAAACAUAUUUGAUAUUUGAUUAACAAAUUGAUUAACAAAUUGAUAAACAUUAUUGAUGUAAACAAAUUGAUAAACAUAAUUGAUUAACAAAUUGAUAAACAUAUCAAUUUCAGUGUCAGGAGACAUACCGUAGAGAUCAACAGUAAUUCUAGGUAAAGAUCUCUCUGGAUGUUCGUGAAGUCUGAAUACAACAGUAUCAGCAAUACAGAAAUUAGGUCUGAAAAAAUAGUUGUGAAUAUAGAAUUUUGCCUUUCACUAUUAUAGAGCAAUGGCAAGCCAAUCCAAGUUUGAAAUUCAUUAAAGUGAAGUGCAUCUCAGCACUGUACACAGACGAGUAUGUUUGAAAAAUCUUUAACACUGUUGUUAUUCAUAUGAAUUUCAAACCUUCAUACCUCAGUUCUGUGAAUACCUAAAUUCUCAGACAAGGUAUAGCUGAACUGAAAUGCUAACACAACAGAAAACUCACUGGCAGUUUCUUGAAUGGUCUGUGCCACUCCAGUGAUGCAAGAAAAUAGCAAACUUCUGUGGUGCAUUGUGCUGAGGUUGUCAGUAACUGCUUUAUGGCUUCAAAAUAGUGCAAGAGGGCAACAUAGAUAAAGAGUAUUGAUGAAUAUGACUCAGAUUUUCACGACUAUUCUUCUUUGUCUUCAUUCAACUUUAAAGAAAAUAUAUUAACUGUGUCCAGGCUAUGAUAAAACAACCAGAGUUAUCCAGUGUUGAUAAAAUAAUUCUGUUUAAUAAAAGGUCUGGCAGUAGUUCUCAGCUAGAAGUGAUACCCAAAGUGAGUGUUUAGAAUCAUUAAGGGCCUAAUGCCCUGGGACAAUGAGCUACCACAUGUCAGCUGAUUGACUGCAAUCCCAUCUGCAUUCACAUUUACUGUAAGCACUUCCAUGAAGCUGAGCCUUAGAGUGCUUAAUAUGUGUUACCACGGUUCAUUGUUGUAUACCUCCCAGCCCUGGCUUCCACAAACCUUCCAAUGUGUUAGAGGCACUCUGCUGAGCAUCAGGGACUGCAUGAGCCAACUCUCCUGCUCUUCUGCUUUCUUCUUGAGCAUGUCUGAUAAUGGGACAUGCAAAUAGAGCUAUUUGUGCCAACGUUUUCAACCUCAUUUUCGUGGUUUUAUGUUAUUUUACAUCCUAACUCUUCAAGGACCUGUCAAUGCAGGGAUAUAAGACCAGUUCCUAGAAGGCUCAUGUUUUCUAAAGAUCAUCAGUACUGCCAGAACUUUGUGUUUGAAGGUGGCACUCUUGAUAAAGCAAUACCCCAUCUGAGUGAAAUGGGCUUAAUGAUGUUUUUCUUAAGAGUACCUAGUAAUGGGUCUAAUUAGGCUUUAUAGAUGGAGGAGGAUUAAUCUUACUGGCUAAAAAAGGGUCUGAGAGACUUGUAGAUCAUAGCAACAUAGAAUCAUAGAAUCAUUAAGGUUGGAAAAGACCUCUAAGAUCAUCUAAUCCAACAGCGCAGUUGCCACCAAUAUUGCCCAUUAAACCAUACCCCUAACUACCACAUCUACAUGUUUCUUGAACACCUUUACUGCCAAGUAUCUUGGUGUGACUCAGGGAUAACCUUACUGGGGCAGGAAGGCAGAAUAUGAGAGAUUUGAAGCAAGAGAGCAAUGUGUUUGGCAAAGGCUUACACCUCUGUGGCAGUAGAAGUUGCCUUAGAGCAAACAGAUGCAGUGAAGCAUAGAAGAUUUGGCAUGGGAAAGGUCAUCUUUCUGCAUCUUUACUUUCAAAUCUAGUAAUUCUACUCAAAAAUUUAUAAAUAAAAUGACAUGUAGUUUUGAUACCAGUUGCAAUGUAGUGUUUAGAUGAGAAAAGACUCCUAAUGUGUUCUAGGAUAAAUCUUGAAUGGCAGAUUUGCCAUUGAUCAGUGAAUUUGAGGUAAAUGCAAUAGUAUGGAAGAAGAGCUCUCUUCCAUGCAUAUUUCUUUAUACAAGUUGCACAAGGUUGUUCUAUCAAAAUGACUGUUUUAUUAUGCAUCUCUCAUUUUCUAGGGAAAGGAUUUCCUUCGUAUAUCUUACCCAUUUCUCUGGGCUAUAAUAGCACUUGGCUUUUUAGUUUGGCCAGCACUAACACAGUGUCAGGAGGUCUGACAGGAGGUUUCUGCAAAAAAACAGACCAUCUCGACCACCAUCCCAGACUUUGAGGGGAUUACAGAGUACAGGAUAAAUUUACCUCUCAUAUGAUGCACACUGUGGGAACAAAAACUUUGCCUACAGCGAAGAAUUUGAUAAAUCCCCUCUUAAAGAGAGCUCCUUCAUUUCUCAAAUUACCUGAGCGGGUAGCUGCUGUCACAUGGGCAACUUUCUGUUAUAUCAGAGGCAGUAACUGGUGAAUUAAUCCUUUACACAUGCAGAAAUGAAAAAUGUCUUCAAGCUCAGAAUGUAAAUAAACAACGUUCAUUUAUCUCUUUUCCAUCAUCUCAUUCAUUCACCUAUCUUAUAGAUUAAUGAAGUAUCAAUAGAUGUGUUAACAAAGAGGCAAACCACAAUGAGAUUUACUAUAGCAGUGAUAUUCUUGCAGUAAGGAAUUCUGAACAUUUCAAGAGCAGACUUCAAACUACCUUCAAAAGCUACAUCCUUCUGGAAUUCCAGUGAGUUAAUGCUUAUCCAUCCAUUUCUAAUGAUACACACAGUGUAACUCCAGUUACUAUAAUGUCAUAUCAUGGGAAAAGACAAAAGCUGUUUAUAAAGAUCUGGAAACAAAUUUCCCUGCAUAUGUCUCACAGCAGCUGUAUAAAUUAAAAUAAUAUUGCUUGCGUUGGUGCUAGGUGAUGCAAAAAAUAUUUAGGGCUAUUUCAACGAUACCGUAGGUUUGCACAUACAGCAUUGUAGAGGCAGAGAUUUAACUUUUGUUGCAGAAGUUAUCUUAUUAUUGAAAGUGUAUGUGUCACUGAUGAGAAGUUUAACAAGGCUAGUAAAUGAGAAGUGCAAGUUGUAUUCUGUACUGAGUUUUGCUCAGCAGAGAGAUUUGACAUUUCUGCUGAUGUCAGCUGCCAUGAUAUACCCUUGUCAUUUGUAUGGAAAAACAACACCUCAUUACAAAAGGUACAAUUUUUUCCAUUCUCUCUUAAUCUCACUAAUUAUACUCCACAUUUACAGUCUAACUGAAUGACACUUUUUUCAAAACAUGCCAAAUUGUGGUGGUUUGGGAUCAUAUGUCAAUGCGACUGGAUAUAGUUUGAAACUAACAAGUAAAAUAUGAUAUAACAUAAUCUGAAAAAAAAUCAUAAAACCUGUGAGAGGACCUUUUUAACAGUUUUGUGAUAAUGGAUUCUCAUACAGUAAAUGAAAAAACAUUAAUAUAAUAUCACAUAUAUGUAAAAUAUGUCCAUUUUUCAAUCCUGGUAAUGCACAUCUUGGCAGAACAGUGGCUUUUAUUCAUACUACUUGGUACAAACAGCAUUUAAUUGUAUCAAAAUGUUGUACACUGAGAAUAUUUCUUCUGGAGCUGGUCAGGGAGGACCAGCAGCAAAGGAUAAAACUUUUGAGAAGCAUAGGAAAAAAAAAUGUAGCUAUUUAAAAGAGAAGUGAGAUUAGAUGAAAAUAAUGAACAGGGAAAAACAGACAAGGAGUACACAGAUGUUUGAGGCAGACCAGAGAGAUGUAAAUGUAGGUGGAUGCUCUCCUGCUGCUCUCACAAGACCCUGACAGCAGUCCAGGACAGUGUCACCCAUACACGCAGUCCUUCUCCCCAGUCACUCCAUUAAUCACUGCCUGCCACUGCUUGUGAAGCACAGAGGUCACGUUAGCAUGUAGCCAUCCUUCAUUUCAGUUCCCUUUGCCAGUCACACACUUAUCAAUUUGAACAAGCCGCACUCCAGAUCUCAAGGAAAAAAAACAAGAUGGAAAAAGAAAAACAAGAUGAAAAAAUUCUGAGGACUUUGGAGGAAGAUAAAGGGAGAGGUGUGGGUUGCAGAAAGGGCAUAAAGUGGGGACAAACUCAAAUUUUCUCUACAGAAUGGUGCGAACUAUCCAACCAAACUGCUGCUGCUGGAGUCAUGGUUAAACUUUAUCAAACUAAGAGUUUGUAAUAUUUAUUUAUUUAUUUAUUACUAAUUUUAACAUUUUCACAAUGUGUCAGCAAGAGCUAAGAGCACUUUAUUUACAGGACACUGUCUUUUCAUAAACGUGGUUGAUUGUUGCAGGUAACUGCAACUGGGACAUAGCCAGGCUUCUUAUACGAGGGGAAGAAGUCCGAUUUGCACUGUUAAGAAAUGUUAAAGUGCUGCUGUGGCAUCCUAAGUGUUAUGAAGAUCUUGCAGUCUGUUAGGACAACUCACAUUCUCCUGAUGGCAUCCGCAUUUAAAUCUGUAAAAUUUGUAGGCUUAUAUCUGUCAUAGCCCAAUGUGUCCAGUUGUAGUUAUGCCCACUUAAGCAAAACAUGGAGCUAUCUGUUAUAAAAGACAAGGUUGCAUUUACAGAACUGGAAUAUCUCUUUUCAAUUUGGGAAAAAUAUCAUUAUUUUAAAUGUAGAUUAAAUAUUGAAUGGUAAUGUUAUACUUCAGCAGCAAAAGAAUACAAUACAUGAAAUCUGAAGUAUUUUUUCUGUUCAUAAACUCUUGGAGUUCAUAUCACCAAUUCCAUAUAAUUUGUCUUGCGUUUGACUGUUAAUUUCACUGUUUCAUAGAGCUGAUUGACUGAGCUGAAUCAGAUGCUGCACAGAGUCCAGAAAAAGUCUACUCUUUUCCCUCUUGAUUAGUGAGAUUUAUACACCAUCGAUAUAUAGACUUGUGAGGUGAAACGUGCUAAAACAGUUUGAGUGAUGACAGGUGGUUAUUUUCUUGAAAAAAAUUUAAAAUAAAAUACAAAAUAAAAACACUUGCUGCUUCUAAGAGUCUGAAUUUUCUUUUCAGCUAGGCUGUUUUAUAACAUUUUGGAAGUAUAAAGUUGUUUUAAUUUUAAUUCAAUUAAAUUUAUAUCUUCUUGAAAGAUAAGUACAAUGCUACUUGGAUAUCAUCUCCAAUAGACGUGUGCAUGCAUUAAAUUUUGACCUUACAAACAUUUUUGACAAGAAGCACCACACCUCAGACAAUUGUGCCUAAAUGGCCUCAUGGUUUCCUCUGAUGCUUUAUUAUCUCUGCCUCAGAACUGCCGGCACUGGUUAUCCACCAGUACCUCACCAAGCAAAAUAAUGUUAAAACACAGAAUAAAAAAAUUUGGAACUACCGUAAAGAGCUUUCACAAUAGUUGAACACAAUGCUUUGAAACUCUAUAUUUCCUUUUAAUUUUAUGAAAAUUGUGGAGUAUCUACGGUCCACUUGAGUCCAAGAGACUUUCAGAUUUUAUUGCAUACAUUUCAUGCAUCACCGAAUCAAAGAACAACUUGGGUUGGAAGGGAUCUUAAAUGCCGACCAGUUUCAACCUCUCUGCUAUGGGCAGGGUUGCAACCCACUAGAUCAGGUUAUCCAGGACCCCAUCCAACCUGGUCUUGGCAUCCCAUCAGAGUAGUCAAGGUUAUGGUUUCUGGUUCCUUGAAUUUAGUUCCAUGUUUUCAUCCACUGAUGUGUUGGCAGAAGUUCAUGUUUGUCAUUCUUUCUUGUGAAUAAUAGUCUAAGCAGUUUACCAAUAGACAAAUACCCAAACUGGUUUCAGAGAGAUUUAUGGGUUAGUCACUGAAAUUUGCUUUCUACAUUUUAACAUGCUCCAAAACUGACCAAAUACAUCAUUAUUAUUUGUUUGUAAUAGAAGCUAAUGUAUGGUGUGGUAUAUAAAAAUAGCAGUAAAGUAGAAUUUAUCUUUACAUGACUCACUGUGACUAUAUUCAUGUUUAUAAUUCACCAAACUUGAGAAAAUACCUCUUUCCUGACCCUGCCAUAACACAGUGACAGCUUCAGUAUGAAACGUGCAAUCCUGGACUUGCAGGUGAUUCUCACUGCAGAAGAUCAUGUAUUCACAGCUACCCAGGAGAACCUGAGAACUGGUAAAAUGGGGGAUAAAAUUUAACUUCAGAAGAUUAUUCAAAGGAAGCCACUCUGAAGUCAAAAUCCUCAAACCAGAUUUAAGGUUUGAAGUGAGGCAAUUCACCUCAAAUAAGAGCAAAUAAAAGAUACUUUAAAAGCAUAGGAUUUAAAACUAGACAUAAAAGAGUAGUGAUACCCUCUUUUCAAGUAAUAGAACAAACUAUAUUAUGAGCAGCAUUUUGAAGUGUACAUCAAACUGAUUUUCUUCCCUUUAUCCUUUUUAAUCUCCACCAGAUGCACUUUCUUUAAAUUCAAGUUUUACAUUCCUAUCCAUAACUUGUCUGAACACACGGAAAGAGCAUUGAGAGACAUUAGUGACAUUCUUUUUCCUUUUCUUACUGCGUCACUCUAUUUUUUACAGCUGCUGAAAGCUUAUCUUCUUAAGUGUCACAGUUUUAUAGACUUGGUUUACUUUAUUUUCAUCCA
ensembl:lncRNA